AAUGCAAGUGAAGGAGGCCAUCAUUAGGCUGAAAAAAACAACAUAAAUCUAUAAGACACAUAGCAAAAACCU